GUGAAUCAUCAAAUUUUUGAACGCAAAUUGCACUCUCUUCGGAGAGUAUGCCUGUUUGAGGGUCAGCCUAAAAAAAAUCGACGUAGGCGCUGUUUCGCGGUGACAUUCGUCGGUAAUUGGGUCAUCUUCAACCUUUGGGUUUUUUAUGUGGCUUAAAAUUUUCUCUACGAUUCCACGAACGAUUCUAAGAUUUACUUCUUACGUUUACGAUAUCGAUUUUUAUUAGACGUGGUCGUUGCAUCGUAUCGCGUCCAACAAUCUUUCGUUA
rnacentral:misc_RNA from 1 species